GGUCCUGACUAGCUCAAUUGGUAGAGCAUGGCCAGGGUUAGGGGUUCGAUUCCCACUGGGACCA